rnacentral:rRNA from 1 species
GACGAACGCUGGCGGCGUGCUUAACACAUGCAAGUCGAACGGUAAGGCCCUUCGGGGUACACGAGUGGCGAACGGGUGAGUAACACGUGGGUGAUCUGCCCUGCACUUCGGGAUAAGCCUGGGAAACUGGGUCUAAUACCGGAUAGGACCACUGCCGGCAUGGGUGGUGGUGGAAAGCUUUUGCGGUGUGGGGUGGGCCCGCGGCCUAUCAGCUUGUUGGUGGGGUGAUGGCCUACCAAGGCGACGACGGGUAGCCGGCCUGAGAGGGUGACCGGCCACACUGGGAAUGAGAUACGGCCUAGACUCCUACGGGAGGCAGCAGUGGGGAAUAGUGCGCAAUGGGCGCAAGCCUGAUGGAGGGACGCCGCGUGGGGGAUGGCGGCCUUCGGGUUGUAAACCUCUUUCAGCACCGACGAAGCGCAAGUGACGGUAGGUGCAGAAGAAGGACCGGCCAACUACGUGCCAGCCGCCGCAGUAA